rnacentral:lncRNA from 1 species
AUAUGGUACAGAUACUUCAGGAAUCUAUACAGAUACUUUAGUGUGUUCCUUGGUCUAAAAUAAUCUAGGACUGACAAAAUGACCUUGCCCACAACCCUGUCUAGCAGCAUCAGCUAUCAGCUGCUUUGAAGGGAGUCCUGACAACGCUAAUGGAAUAGCGGCUUCGCUGCAACCAGCUAUGCUGCCUCAAAUAUGGUUUAUCACUUUCCCAGAGGCUAAGAGCCAUGUGCAUACUGCAAAGAGCAAGAGGAGGAUUCUUGUCUCUCCAGCCAGCUGA